CGGCUUAACUGUGAGCGUGCGGGCGAUACGGGCAGACUUGAGUACUGCAGGGGAGACUGGAAUUCCUGGUGUAGCGGUGGAAUGCGCAGAUAUCAGGAGGAACACCGGUGGCGAAGGCGGGUCUCUGGGCAGUAACUGACGCUGAGGAGCGAAAGCGUGGGGAGCGAACAGGAUUAGAUACCCUGGUAGUCCACGCCGUAAACGGUGGGUACUAGGUGUGGGUUUCCUUCCUUGGGAUCCGUGCCGUAGCUAACGCAUUAAGUACCCCGCCUGGGGAGUACGGCCGCAAGGCUAAAACUCAAAGAAAUUGACGGGGGCCCGCACAAGCGGCGGAGCAUGUGGAUUAAUUCGAUGCAACGCGAAGAACCUUACCUGGGUUUGACAUGCACAGGACGCCGGCAGAGAUGUCGGUUCCCUUGUGGCCUGUGUGCAGGUGGUGCAUGGCUGUCGUCAGCUCGUGUCGUGAGAUGUUGGGUUAAGUCCCGCAACGAGCGCAACCCUUGUCUCAUGUUGCCAGCGGGUAAUGCCGGGGACUCGUGAGAGACUGCCGGGGUCAACUCGGAGGAAGGUGGGGAUGACGUCAAGUCAUCAUGCCCCUUAUGUCCAGGGCUUCACACAUGCUACAAUGGCCGGUACAAAGGGCUGCGAUGCCGCGAGGUUAAGCGAAUCCUUUUAAAGCCGGUCUCAGUUCGGAUCGGGGUCUGCAACUCGACCCCGUGAAGUCG
rnacentral:rRNA from 1 species